UAUUUAUAUUUUAUAAAUAAUUCUAGUAUUAUUAUAAGAAAAAAUCCAAAUAUAUAUUCGAAUCAGAUAAUUAUUCUAUUUUAAUUAUAAAAAUCAUUCAUAUAUAUCGUAAUCCUGCCCAAAGAUUUUGUUUCAAAUUUCGUUCUUAAGCUAAGAUUGCCAGUCUAUAAUAUUAUAAUUUAUAAAUAGCAAUUGUUAACCUCCAUUUGAUAUUCGAAUGUGCUGUAUUUCAUCGAAUGUUUCAUAAUUAAGUUGAUAAUCGAAUUAUCAAAGAAUAAUUAAAUUAUUCCUUGGAUGCUAUGCCAAAAUUGAAGAAUAUUAUUAAUUUUCAUCAGGCAUUUAUUAUUCCAACAAUAUUAUAGUCAACGAUCAAAUAUAUUGACUAUUUUCAUAAGCAAUAAUCCUCAAAUUAUUGUUCUGGAUGUCAAGGAGUAAAAAUAAUGAGAUUUAUGUAAAUUUAUUUUUAUUACUGAACUUUAUUUAUAGAUAUAAGUUUUUACAUAUAAUAAGGGAAAAAUAAAAGUGUAAGUUCUGUUUGAUCCAGGUGUUAUUAAUUAUUGCUUAUCAUUACAAAUCAAACUCUUUAAUUUCUAAACUAGUACAUAAAAUAAUAAAAACGCUUUAACUUCUCUUAAUUUUGGUGCAAACUUUUGUGAUUUCUGUUGCAUGUCGUUAAUCUGUGUCCAUACAUUAUUUAUGGAUCGGGUAUAUGCAAUAUAAUGUGGUAUACUUAGUGGAUUGUCAGGUGGGACGAACUCUAUGACACCAGACAACAGAAAUGACAUUUCGAAUACCUCCAAACGGUGUGGUAUUUCCUCCAAAUAAUAUCCUGUUCGUUGUUUUAUACCGGAAUUAGCACAGUAUAUAUUCGACUCAUAAAAGUGUUCAAUAUUAAGACAUAAGUAUGAAGUGACGGUAGUUUGUUUUUUGGCAGAUAAAGUUUUACACGCGUCACAUAAAUAAAAAUGUUUUUUUCUAACUUCUUGACAGAUACAUUGUUCCAAAGAUUGAAGUCCAUUUUUCCAAACUAAUGUAGCAUUUAUAUUCAACACUGGUGCUUUUACAGAUUUCAAGUAAUUACAUUUAUUGUUGGUACAGUAUGUUUGUUCAGUGUUACAAUUUGACUCGUUUAUAAUCCACGAGAAAGUUCUUGAAACAUCAUCACGACAGUUAAUAGAACAAUUUUCUUCUGGGUAUUUAUUACUAUUAAAUAAGUAACUCAGUCGUUUUUUAUUAAAAGAUGCAUCCGCGCCAAAUUCAGUAUAAUGUAAUAAACAAGAGAAGAAAGAGUUGGGUUUGAUUUGACAAUCUACAAAAUUUUUUAAAUUACUAAAAUUUAAGUAAUUAAACGAUAAAACCUCCAUCAAACUAUCGAAAGGGCAUGUAUUGUACAAUCUUAAUUUCUUCCCUUUUAUCGGGUAUGCACGGAUGAAUUGUCCAUUGCGAAUAAUUUGUUUUUUCUUUAUUUUCUUGUUUUUAGGUAAUUUAUUAUUUGCUUUAGCAUGAAAUAUUUGCACUUCUGGGAAAGGUGUUACAUAUUUACCUCGUUUAGACUUAGGACUUGACUUGUAAGUUGUGACAGGGUAAUUUUAAUGAACAUAAAUAAAUAAAUAAAUUUGAAUUUGAAUUUCGUUCCCGCCAUAACCGGCCGAUGACCUCGUAAGUUACGAGUAGUGUUGCGACUAGUCACCGGGUGUCGCAUAGAUCACUAAGGCCCGUCCGUUCGUCAUUUCCUUUAGUUUAAGAAAGUGGGAAUAGGUUUCCGGAGAAGUGAACGGGAGUGAAAAGAUAUAAUGGACUGCGGAACAAAAAGAAGUGAAGAGUUGUCCAGACGACGAGAACCAACGGACGCAAACUUAGCAUCAUCAAGGUAAAUAUAUACGUCCGUUCACGCUUCACGUGGAACGAGGCGAUAAUUAAUUUAUAUUUAACUGUUCAAAUAAUUAUUAGGCCUUUAGGCCGAUAAUUAUAAUAAUCGAUAACUUAGCAAAAUAUUAAUGCGUAUUGUUCCUUGACAGAUUACCAAUUGAAAUUCCUGGGUGACGAGAGAAAGAGUGCAGACCAGCGGAGAGAACCUUAGAGGAGGCGACGAGACCACUUGAUACCUUCUCAUCAGGACUGUUGGAGUUUCCUCGAGGUAAAAAUUAUAAUUAAUUAAGGCCUCUAACUUAAAUAAUUGAGGGCCGAAUUAAUUAUAAUUAAUUUACUUAAUAUCUUUCUGCUGGUUUCGCGAUAUUAGAUUGAUAUUUCAAGGCCCGUCGGCUAGUGUAAUCACGCGUCUCGGAGUCCCGAAAUUUACGUAAAAUCUUUGCCGUGUACUCGUCGUUCUGUUGUAACUCGAAAUUUAUUUCAUUCGAGGCCUCUCGGCUGGAAUAAAAUAAAUUUUUCCGUAUAAAUUAUUCAAUAAAUAAAUUCAAUAACUUAAUAAAAGUAUUCAGACCUGUCGGCCGCCCUAGACAAAAUUUUGUCCGCGUGUAAGAUCAUAAAUUAAGGCCUUGCGACACCAAUUGACCGGCCGAAUGUUCUAGUAAAUUUAAGACGUAAUUCUAGUCGUUAAAUUAGUCAUGAAAUAUUUAUAAAAUAAUGUUAAAAUAAUUCUAAUUAAAAUUAUAAAAUCAAAAGUAAGACGCUAGAAAAUUACGAUAAAAUUGUCUCGAGUAAAGUUAAGGAUGGAUUAUUUUGUCAGUGAAUUAAGUUGAGUGUUAAAAUACAUAAUGAAAAUAAUUAUCAGAAAUUUGGAGUAAAUUAAUUAUAUAUAAAUUUUGGAAUUAGAUAUUAAUGGGAAAAUUAUCAGUGGAAAAUUAAUUAAUUAAUAAUUAAAUUAAAACCAAAAUUAAUUAAUAAAUAUAAUUGAAUUAAAUAAGACAGUGAAAAUUAAUAAAUGAAUUAAAUGAAUCAGUGAGAAUUAAGUAGUUGUGAAAUGUUUAUACUGGAAAUUUUAUUAGUGCAAUUUUAUAUAAAAUAUCAAGUUUAAUAAUUGAGUAAAAGAAAGUGAUGUCAUUGAGUACGAAUUAAAUAAAAUAAAAGUAGAGUUCAAAGUCGAGUCAGUAAUUUUUAGUAAAGAAAACUGUGUCUGUGAUUUAGGUCCGGUGGACAUGUUAAGUUAUUUUAAUUAAUUAUACAUCCAGGGGAUGUUUUUUAAUUAAUAUUAAGGUUUACCGUCCAGGGGACGAGGUAUAUUUUACGUGGGUGUGUGGGUGUGGAAACCGUCCAGGGGACGAGAUUUAGUUUGUCAUAAGUUACCGUCCAGGGGACGAGAAAAUAUUAGUUUGUCAUAAGUUACCGUCCAGGGGACGAGAAAAUAUUAGUUUGUCAUAAGGAAAUUUAGUUUGUCAUAAGGAAAAUAUUAGUUUGUCAUAAGUAAUGUCCAGGGGACUCAGUAGUUUGUCAUAAGAAUAUUAGUUUGCCAUAAGUAAUAGUUAUUGUCACAAGGUCAAUGAAAUAAAGCAAGGUGCUUAAAAUAAAAUAAUUUGGAUUAACAUUAUUUCAGCCUAUUCUAUAGUUCCUCUUCUCACUCACAAAAUAUUAUAAACGAUCCUGAAUAAAUAAUUAGUCUCAAUUAAUUAAA